CCUACGGGUGGCAGCAGUGAGGAAUAUUGGUCAAUGGACGAAAGUCUGAACCAGCCAAGUAGCGUGAAGGAUGACUGCCCUAUGGGUUGUAAACUUCUUUUAUAUGGGAAUAAAAUGUUCCACGUGUGGGGUUUUGUAUGUACCAUAUGAAUAAGGAUCGGCUAACUCCGUGCCAGCAGCCGCGGUAAUACGGAGGAUCCGAGCGUUAUCCGGAUUUAUUGGGUUUAAAGGGAGCGUAGGUGGAGUGUUAAGUCAGUCGUGAAAGUUUGCGGCUCAACCGUAAAAUUGCAGUUGAAACUGGCAGGCUUGAGGACAGUAGAGGUGGGCGGAAUUCGUGGUGUAGCGGUGAAAUGCUUAGAUAUCACGAAGAACUCCGAUUGCGAAGGCAGCUCACUGGAGUGCAACUGACACUGAGGCUCGAAAGUGUGGGUAUCAAACAGGAGUAGAUACCCGAGUAGUC
rnacentral:rRNA from 1 species